rnacentral:rRNA from 1 species
AUUGAACGCUGGCGGCAGGCCUAACACAUGCAAGUCGAGCGAGCGGCGGACGGGUGAGUAAUGUAUGGGGAACUGCCCGAUGGAGGGGGAUAACUACUGGAAACGGUGGCUAAUACCGCAUACCAUCAGAUGUACCCAGAUGGGAUUAGCUAGUAGGUGGGGUAAUGGCUCACCUAGGCGACGAUCGCUAGCUGGUCUGAGAGGAUGAUCAGCCACACGGGGACUGAGACACGGCCCAGACUCCUACGGGAGGCAGCAGUGGGGAAUAUUGCACAAUGGGCGCAAGCCUGAUGCAGCCAUGCCGCGGGUAUGAAGAAGGCCUUCGGGUUGUAAAGUACUUUCAGCGGGGAGGCGUUACCCGCAGAAGAAGCACCGGCUAACUCCGUGCCAGCAGCCGCGGUAAUUC